AUCGAGUUAAGAACAUCUGGUGCCGCAGUCUGUCUUUGGCAGACUGGGGAUAAUAGGGAAACAGGUGAAAAGCCUGUACGAUCUCGUCACUGUAAGUAAGGAGCCCAUGGUUUAUGUCAAGGACAGUCACUGAUUCAGUUUGAAUUGGGAAGGCCGCCAUGGGUGUUGAGAUACGAGUCAGGAAACCUGCCAGUUGUUGGUACAGGAA
rnacentral:ncRNA from 2 species